CGAUUGCUGCCACGGUGCCUGUCCUCCUGCGGAACGCCGUCGGCCCCGUCGACGAAGCAGCCGCGCGGUGCUUGUGCCGCCGGACGCCAACAGGAUGGCCUGGGCGGCCGCGUCAGACCUCGUGGUCAUGGAGGUGGAUUUGUUAUCUGAGGUGUCCGCUGAAUUCUGGAUGAACUGCCACCACAACAGAAGGUAAAUGCUGCUUGUGGCCAGUAGUCUGUGCUGUGCCUCCCGCCGAGGCCCUCACCAAUUACGCUUCCAGGCUAUUUUGAGCGCCUGUGUCCCCGCGGCUAGCUACGCCCGCACCAUCGCAUUAUUUUCCGCGCGUGUGUCGCUCUUCCUGCUCAACUCAGGGUGCUCCCACCCUCCAGCGUGAUAUUUGCAUUUGAUGGUUUCCUGCAAAUGACAGAAUGUUGCUGCGGAGAAAUGUUGCGAGUGUUUCAGAUAUUUGCAUCUAAUGGUUUCCUUCAAAUGACAGAAUGUUGCCAUAGAGACAUAUCACGAAGGCAUUGCAGGCAACCAGAUAGAAGGAUGAAAUCAACAGAUCAAUGUCCAAGCUUUGAUUUGGUCUCAGAAAAACCAUGGUCAUUAUCAGGGUCAAGUUAUUUGCGCCUUCCAAAAGAUUAUCAUUGGAAUCAGCUCUUCUGAUUCUGAUCAAAGAUGAAGGUACGUUGAAGCCAUCUCAAAAAGGAUAGUACAGUGUAAAGGGCCUCCGAUUUAUGUUCGUAUAAUCACUACUCUUUAAGAAAUGCUCCCAUAUGUUACGAAAUUGAAAAUGCUGCUAUUCAUUUCUUUUCAUUUAAUCAAAAUUCUAUUCUAAGAUUCGUCAAUACUUUGUCUCUCAAAACAGGUCGUGCUGUAGAUCAUGUUUCUUUUUGCACGGGUGUUGUUCAGGAUGUUUCACUCACAAAUAAUACUACAUCGAUUCCCCUACAGAGAAAGUACAAGAAAUUGAAUAAAGUUUACUGUCACUUUAAGAGUUAUAUUUCUGAACCUGUGCCUUGCCUGCCAUAGCUGUGACAACAUAUCCUUAUGACUUUGUUUAGGAUGCUUAAUUUUCUUCCCAACUGCCCACUCUGCUCAGAAGUGUAUAUGCCGUUCUAUACUGAAGCAUGCUGCCACAUUCAGCUUAUUCAACAUAAUUUGCUUACCACAUUCAGUCUUAGAGUACUGUAUGGAGUAUCCAUGUCAGGAUGGGCUCUAAUCGGGAGGGUCAUCUGUAUGCUUCAGUACGGACUUCGAAAACAGAAAUCUAUGUACGCCUGAAUAUACUCAGUUUGGAUCUUUGAAACCCGACUUUUAAUUUCUAGAUCGAAAUUACAUAAAUAUUUUUCUUAACACAUUCAAAAAUUGUUGUUGUGCAAUAUUUUAGAAAUAUUGCAUGGAAAGCACACAAGAUUUUAGAAAUAAUUGCAACAAUUAGAACAUAUGGUCAACCUUAAAUGACUAACACAGUUUUUUUCUAGGGUUCACUCUCUAUUGAAAGCAUCAAGUUACCUGUCCUUUUUGCAUUGGAGUUUUUGGUGCCUAGAGAGUUCAGAUGACUGAAACUGAGGUGCAAGUAUUGUCAGUACUGGAUAAAGGGUGUUCUGACUUUGUACUGAUGUGGUUAGGACCAAAAUGAUGCUCAAGCAGCUACAUUCAGAUGUCUGCAUAUGACGUUUACAAAUGUCCGGUGCUCAAGCUACCUACAAGAGUAAACACUAUUUAGAUGGUAGUGUAGUUAUAUUACAUAUAUUUUUCAUCAGUAGUUGGUUUCAUGUUGAGUCGGAGAAAAAUGGGCAUGUAGAUCCAGAAGUAAUCACUUUUACUACAAACAAAAGGCCAUGGGUUUGAUAUGUGCCAGCACUGAAAUGAUAUUCAGCUCAUUUAGACAUAUGUUUGCCUUACUAUGGUAAGGCCCUGGACAUGUUGUCAGGAUCAUGGCAACUAUAGCACACCUUAUCAGUGUGUAUGUUGCAUUUCUGGUUGAUGACCAUGAUCGAUUUUCACACCAAUUAAGAGUUGAGUGGGUUAAUUUUGUUUUUCGGAUAGCAUUGUUGUUAUAGAAAUAAAAGAGUAAAGACUACUACAGA